rnacentral:sRNA from 1 species
UCAUAUUCUGAAUAUCCAAAUUAUGUGUAAUUUUUGUUUAUUAUGUCUCUCAUUAAUUACAAACUAUUGUAGUAAUUAGAAAAGAAAUUUUUACAUUAGCGGAUGAAAAAAAAAUUGCUCUCAUGGUUUGUCAAAGUGAGAUAUGGUUUUCCGUUUGUCUUUUCAAUCGUUUUUAGACCAAAAUACUUUUAAUGAGAGCAACCAAACCGCACAGCAGUUGGUUUUGGUUUAGUUUUGUAAAAAAAAAAA